AGUGCGAUAGCUGGGUCAGAUGGUGGCUCCAUUACAAAUUUCCUAAGGAAUCUCCAUACUGCUUUCCAUAUUGGUUGCACCAAUUUGCAGUCCCACCAGCAAU
rnacentral:pre_miRNA from 1 species